rnacentral:sRNA from 1 species
AUGCUCUCCGCCCUCGCCCGGCCUGCCAGCGCUGUUCUCCGCCGCAGCUUCAGCACCUCGGCCCAGGUAGGCCCGACGAGGGGCGGCCUGCAGGCGGAGGCCCCCCAGCCCGGGCCACGUGCGUCCCCGGUUCGCGGGCAGCUCUGACCCUCUCCAGGCCAGCCUGGACCGCAGGGCUGCCCGGCACUGGCUGGAGACUGUGGCGCCCGGGGCAGGCCCUGACACUGGCCUGGAGGUGCGGGGGAGAUAGCCGGGGAGAAGGGGGCGAGGUAGUCCCGCUCCAGGGCCGGUCCAUUUGGCAGGGCUCCCCCAGGUCUCCCAGAUUCCCCAGAGGACCUGCUCUUGGCUUGCACGCCUUCAAGAACAAUGCUAAAGUAGCUGUGCUAGGGGCCUCUGGAGGCAUCGGGCAGCCACUUUCACUUCUCCUGAAGAACAGCCCCUUGGUGAGCCGCCUGACCCUCUAUGAUAUCGCGCACACACCUGGAGUGGCUGCAGAUCUGAGCCACAUCGAGACCAAAGCCGCUGUGAAAGGCUACCUCGGACCUGAACAGCUGCCUGACUGCCUGAAA